AUUUAAUUAAAUUAGUUAUUUUAUAACUAAUGUAAUCAUUUUAUUUCGUUAAGAUUAAGAAGCUCGUUAAUUAAGUAAUAGUAAUUCGUCUUCUUUAGUAAUUAGCCAUGUUUACCAAUUACAUCUAAUUUUGGAUAAAUCCUUAACUCUCGUUGGCCAUAGUUGCAAUACAUUGGACCUUUCCCUCAAUUUUGAUUUUAACUACUUUGGUCUAUAAACCUUUUUUUUAGAGGGCAAAUUUGGGUUAUUUCAGCUAAUCCAAUUCAAUACUUCAGCAGCCCACUCCAAUAGCCUACCCACUUUCCCUAAUUUCCAGCCCAUGUUUAAUUCCCAGCCAACCCAAUCCAAUUCCUCCUCCUGACCCGUCCCAUUUUCUCUUAUUCAAUAAGAAAUCAGUGCAAUCCAACGUUCCCAAAUUUUCUUCCUUCAACGCGUCAACUCCAGCGACUCAACGACAAAAGAAACCCAAAAACAUCAUACAGUAGCAGUAACAAAAGCAACGCGAAACCGUCCUUGCUCCUUGGGAUUGAGCCGCGUGGCAUAGCGAGGACGAUCAAAUCGAUUCGGAGCAUCUAUCUUCCCUUUCCUCUUUCGGAAUGGGGUGAAAAUUUCAGAAAAGGUUGUCUCUCCUGAAUUGUGAAAGAAUUUUUUCGAGUUUAAAUUCAAAAUGGGCCUUGAAUCCGAUUUCGUNNNNNNNNNNNNNNNNCUGAGUUCCUCCCCCCCCCCCCCCCCCCCCCCGCCCAAAAAAAAGAUUAGGAACCUUAGAAAUCUCUUUUAUAUGCUCUCUUCCUCUUUAGUGUUAGUGUCGGAGAACAGAGUCUAAGAAAUAUAUACUCAGGCAAAAAUACACAUAAAGAAUCACUAGCUAUAAAAGAUAAAAAUAUACUUUCUGCUCACUGCUUGCAAAGAUCAUCGGAAUCUCUUUGUGGUAGUGAAGUCGUUGUUCCAAAGCUCGUCUGGUCUCGGUUAUGCUGCCCCUUUGAAGGUAAUACUUGUCCCGCUUCAAGCAUCUUUUGCUCUUAAUGUGUUGUUGCUUGAUUCUUGACUAUGUGAAAUUGUUUACAUGUUAGAAUUCGGAGUGUUUUUGACUCACUGUUGGCCGUAAAUCAGUGAUAAAAUUUGUUUGUUAGUCCAUGUUGUUGUUUGUUUAUGUUUUCUUGAAAGGUUUGGUGUUUCCUCCCUGUCUUGAGUUUGUUUCUCCUUAUUAGAAUCUCUUUAUCUCAUUGCUAUCUCGAUUGGCGAGCUGUAGAGUUGCGGUUCAACCGUGAAGCUCAAACUCAUCUCCAAUAGGUGAUUUCGACUUCCAUAAUCUGAUGUAUAUGUUGUUUCCUGCUCUUGUUUACUUGCAACUAAAUAUCGUGUUUCAUUAUUGGUUUUUCGUGUGUCGUUAGGGUCUUUUGUUUAAUAAUAUUGAUCUUGUGCCUUUUCGUUAAAUGAUUAAGUUAAAGCUUGACUAAUGUUUUCUGAAGGAGUAAAGAGUGAGUUCUUGUAUGCUUUGCAUAUUUGAGGGUCUAUUCAUUUAUAUUCUCUUUACUUUGUUUUGGUUCCAUUUUUAUGUGAGUUAGCAUCUCUGUUUCAUGUAUUGCGUGAUUGUCCAAUGAACCAAGUGAUUGGGGUGCAGUUAAUGCAUCUUCUUAUCACUAAGUUAAAAGACAAGAUUCAGUUUUCUUUCUUAAGUUGUUAUUAGAUUUCAAAUGACUGGUCCAUUUCUUUGUGUAUGACUUUAGCUAAGGGUUCAAGUAUUUUGUCUUUGUUUCUACUGCUGUCCAGAUCCUCUUAAAUUCACAUGGAUGCUAGUAAUUUACUCUAAAUCAUGUAUAUUUCAUUGUAUGAUUUUAAAAUCUCCUUUCUUUGUUAAGGCUUGUGUUCUCUGGUUUGUUUCCUAAAAGUUUAAGUGCUUCUCAUGUUAGUGUAUAACAUUUGAGUUUCAAUUUUUUUUUUUGUGCUUUAUCAUGAAUAAAAGUAGCAAUUUGGAUCAACUUAAUAACUUGUUCAUUUUUAGGUGGAGCAUUUAAGUUAUAUUUUCCUUAAUUUGCCGAAACAAAAGUCAUAUGCAGAGAUGUUGUGUUAUUUAUCUUAAACCUAUUCUUGCUUUAUUCCAAGUUUAUGUUGGUGUAAAAUUUGUUUGUUUUCUUCUUUGGAGCGAGUCCAGCAAGCAUGCCAACAUGACUUAUUUAUUUGUGUCAUUUUUUUAUUUUUUUAUUAUGAUUAUAUGUCCUAUUUUCCUUGGCUAAUACAAUUAUUUUAUGUGUAUGUGAAUCUAUCUUGAGUCCUCACGGACUUCUCUAUCCCCUUGCAUUCCGAUUUGGGCCGUAAAGGUCCAAAUUUGCUCUUCUUACUCGAGUCAACCUCAUUAUCCGGUCAGAAAAAUCGGCGAACAGGUUACGGGCAGUAUAAGGGCGGGAAAUUAAAUUUCCAGGUUUCGAAUAGCUGAAAAACGGGUUGAUAUACCUGUUGUAUACACUGGUAUACAGUUGUAAAAUACGGUAUACAAGUUCGAAAUGCAGAAAUACAAAUUGAGAAGGGCGGAAAUACAAAGUGCAAAUAAAAUACAGGCUUCGGAAGGCCCAAAACGGGUUGGAUACGGCUCGUAUACAGCGUUAUGCAUAAAAUGUAUGCGCAGAUUUUCUAAAGGCAAAUGGGCCCAAAAGCCUUAAGCCAUUUUCAGCAAGCCUAGAUGGCAUGAAAAUGGGCCGAGGCCCAAUGAGACAAAUCAGAAAAAUUGAAGUGAGAGUAAAUGGGUCAAAACCCAUCAUUUUGGCAACUUUAGACUUAGAACAGGUUCAAGAUUUUGGAAUUUGGACCAAAGGCCCAAAUUUGAUAUUUCCUUCCUUUGCUUUUUUAUUUGUUAUUGACUAAUACUUUUGGUUUAACUUAAUUAAUUUCCUAAAGAUAGUCGUUUCUCUUUAUAUUCAAAAGUUAAAAUAUUUAUUCUUUCUUAUAUAUACAACUUAUUUAUUACUUAGCUCUAUUUUAUCAUUAGUCUUGUCGACACUUAAGUUACCUCCCUUUAGAAUGAUCCCCCUUUAGUUUAUUUCCCCUUAAAAUGAUUAAUUAGAAAAAUAACAGUAAUAAGUAAAUAAAAUAAAAAAAAUGAGUUCUUUUACUUAGUUAAAAUUUUAAGAAUUACUCAAAGUCAUUUUUAGUCAAAUCGCCGGUCAACCGCAAGUUAGCGGACAUUCUGAGGGCCUAACACCGUCUCUGAAUGUACAUUGAACUCGAACCCUUUUUAUUUCAAUUGAUUUUUAUCUGUUUAAAUCUUUUGAAAUAAUUAUAAGUUUUCUUAAUUUCUUAAAAAAAAAAAAUUAAGUGGCGGCUAUGUUUCUUUUGGAAAUUCGAUUUCUCUUAAAUCGUAAGUUUAAUUGAUUUUUCGAAAACUUAGUCAUUUUUCUUUUAUUUAUUUUUUCGAGUAAAACAAUGUAUCUAGUAUCCCAGUCUCCCGAUACUAUGGUCAAAUAUUUUUUCUAUAUAUAUAUAUAUAUAUAUAUGAGAGAGAGAGAGAGAGAGAGAGAGCAAUGUAUGUAAUAUGCAUAUAUUGUAUCAAAAAUAAAUAGGAAAUGUAUGUGAAAAGUGUAUUGAUAAAAAUGUAUAUAAUAUGUAUAUAUAUUGUAUGAAAAAUGAAUAUGAGUGUAUAUGAAAAAUCUAUGAAUAAAAAGGUAUAUAAUGUGUAUAUAUAUUGCAUGUAAAGUGAAUAUUAAACAUAUGAAGGGUAUUGACAAAAAAAUAUAUAAUGUGUAUAUAUAUUGAAGAAAGUUAAUAUAAAGUGUAUACGAAAAGUAAAUGUGUAUAUAAUGGAUAAAGUGUAUGAUGAAUGUAUAUAUUCGAUAAUAUAUACAUCGUGUAACUAGCAUAUAAACAUUAUUGUACUUAUAAUAUAUAAAUAAAAAAUUAUAUAUAGUUGAGUUAAAUAAUACAAAUAUUAUUUUUAACAUAAAUAGAUAAUAUAUAGAUGAAUAAUUGAGAAUGUCAAAGAUAAAAUAGACAUUAUAGAAAAGAGAGAGAAUAUCUAUCUAUCUAUUAUUCAUAAUUGAUGUGAGGCUUUAAUUUUUGAAUUAAAGCUGAGAGGUAUAAAUAACUUUCACUCAUUAAGAUUUAAACUUAACAAUUAUAACUCCAAGAGAAAAAUGAAAAUGAAUAGCCAAAUCAUAUCAAAAGAGCUAACAAAUAGGAAACGUUGAAUAUUUAACUCCUAACUUCACAUUUAUCCCAUUUCCAAAACCAAAUUUGUCCAAAAUAUUUGUCACAUUCAUCAAAUAUUGAUCCAUCUCAUAAAUUCAGACAAUUCCAUGGCAAUAACAUGUAUAUUCCCGUGUAUAUCAAUGUAUACCCAUACAUCUCACCGUUACAUUUGUAAUAUACAACACCUACGGCAUGUGUAUAUCAUAUUAUCAAUGUAUAUCACACAUAGAUCUUGUGAAUAAUAGAAUAUUGAGCAUUUUAUCCAAUUAUUCAUCGUUCGAUACCUAAAUGCCAAAUUAUAUUGGUUUUUAUUGAAUCACAACUCCAAAGAAGAAUCGUCACCUAUUGAAUUUAACAUUGUAGCGUUUAAUUUAAAAACUAAAAACACCAUCGAAACAUAUAAGUCAUACAGUAAAAAAUCAAGUUUAAAUUGAUUGGUUUUACGCUUAUAUUUUGUGAUUGAAGUAUGUGCAAUUACAUUGUACGUACAAAAAUAAAACGAAGCAUAAUUCAUUUUUUUAUUAAAUUAUUAGAAGAUGAAUAAGGAGGAAUAAUACCACAAAACCACAAGUUAGAUUUUUCUCAUUUUUUUGUAAUAUGUUAUAGUAUUCAUUAUAAAAAGUAAAUUCAAAUUUAUAUGUAGCUAAAGGUUAUUCACAAUAUUGAAUGCUGAAUAUAUAGCGUAUAUCCUGCAUUAUAAUGUACGUUUUUAAUAAUAUUGACCUAUGUACCAUGCCGAUUUUUUUUAAAAAAAAAUAUUACUUAACGUGUUAACCAAAGUUUGCAAAAAAUACUCCAUCCAUUUCAUUUAUUGGAUUAAUUGGUUCCGUUAUAGUAAAAAUUACCUAAGUUUUUUUAGUGUGUUGCAUUAUUGCAUAUGAUAUUGUAGAGAAGACGGGGAACUAGAGCUUACCCUUGAUAUAUAAUCACAUAUUGCAAGCAUUCUAGGUAAAAAAAAAAAAAAAGGUGUCUAACAGUCGGUGUUCACACCCUUUCUAACUACAAAGAAAUACAAUUUUAGCUAACAAAAAAAAUUGGCUUUGUAAUAUUGUAGCCUCACAUUAGGAACUUGCCUUCGAUCCAAAAUAUAAGAUCCUAAUGCACCUCUUGGACCAACAUGGAUUUGUAGUGCACUGGUGGGAGUGAUUAAUUCAGAGGUCUCGGAUUCUAGUCCUGAGUAUGGAGAAAAUUCUAUUGGAAGUGUCACUCCCGAAUGAGCCCUGCAGUGCGCGAUCCAGAUUUAAAUGUAACUUCAAUGUGUACUCCGAACACACCCUAAAACACCAAAAAAAAAAAUGCACCUCUUAGCAAUUGACUAAUAUUAUGAAUCAAAAGUUGAUUAUCCAAAGUAGUGGGUUUAAAAAAGAAACAAACGAAGUUUGAUAUUGUGAAAAAGGUCGAGAUAAUAUUUCAUAGCUUAUAAAGUACUACAUGUUAUGUUUUUGUAAAAGAUGCAAUUAUCAAAUAUAUAGCCUUCACGUGGAGUUGUCACGAUUGAUAUUGAUUUGAACUCAAUUGUUCAUCUAAAUUUAAUAUUUUUUAUACAAAACAUAAAUUUAUAAAAAUUAUUAAAUUUGCAACAAAAAGAUCUUAACCCACGAUGUAGAAUGGGUGGCUCAAGGGGUGUACAUGGCCCGAUUGGUUCGGGUUUUUCAAAUAUCAAACCAAACCAUUUGUGUCGGGUUUUUAAAUUUAUAAACCAAACCAAAUCAAUAAAACUCGGGUUUUUCAACCUCGGGUUUUUUUGGAUUUUUUCGGGUUGAUUUGGAUUUUCUGGUAAAGUAUUCAUACAAACAUAUAAUUUACUUGUACUUCAAAUAUUUCUUUAGUCCUACCAAAAUACAACUAUCUAAGAUGUUUCUUAAAAAUAUAACACAAUAUGAUAUGAUUAAUGACACUAAAAUAUCCAACAAAAAUAAUAAUAAUGANNNNNNNNNNNNNNNNNNNNNNNNNNNNNNNNNNNNNNNNNNNNNNNNNNNNNNNNNNNNNNNNNNNNNNNNNNNNNNNNNNNNNNNNNNNNNNNNNUUUAUUGGACCAUUCCGAAUUCUAAGUUUUAAACUUGAAAUAAUAUAUUAAAAGAUAAAAACUAUGAAAAAGUAUAAGAAAUAUUUAAAAAUUAUAUCAAAGUAAAUAUUUUUAUGUAUAAAAUAAAAUUUUAAAAUUAUAUAUAUAAUGUCGGGUUGGUUUAGUCUCGGAUUGGUUUUUUUUAGUUAAAACCAAACCAAGUCAAACCAAACCACUAGUCGGGUUUUUUUUUUUCAAAACCAAACCACUAGUUGGGUUUUUUUUCUGAGUUGACUCAAUUUACGAUUUGGUUCGAUUUUCGAUUCGAUUUUGUACACCCCUAGGUAGGGGUGGCUGCGAUAAGGUUUGUGUGCAUGUGUGUGGUCCUCUUAAUUAACUACAUCACCCAACUUAGUUGAAGCAAAGGUGGUCCUUUAAUUUAUUGAAAUGACAAUCAUGCAUGAAACUCAUGUUUGUAUUCUAACAGAUAUCUGAUUACCUAAUAACAUUCGCCAUUUAUUGCCUUUUUACGGUACGGGAUGGAUGGAAAAUAUUAUAUACGAGCUCGAUUAAACUCAAUAAUUUUAAUCUUAUAUAUUAAAAUCCUAUUUGAUAUCAACAAGGCUAGAGUGGUAAACAUAAUUUUUAUCAUAUUCUUAAUCAGAGGUCUCCGUAGUUAUUUUGAUAGUUGCUUUUGUAUGUUUACUAGCUAGGGUUCAUUCAAAUAUUUCCUCUAGUUAGAAUGAUUACUACAAGGGGGGUAAUUGGGAAUUGAACGCAGAUAUUUCCCUUCCAUAUUUUCACUGCUAUAUUUAAGGCCGCAAUCAUUCACUAUGCAACUUGCAAACUAGCCAACCACUCUCUACGCCAUAAUAAGUACUCGUUCCCUCUUUUUUCUAAUUGUGAUUGAUUUCUCUUUUUACAGUAAAAAAAUAAUAAGAAUUUAACUAACAUUUUACGAUGUAUUUUUUCAUUAUAUUGACAUGCAAAAAAUUGCAAUACUUUUCGUAUAUUUUUGAAUAUUUAAAUUUUUUGUUUAAAAUAUCGAAUUAAUGUAACUUUCAAAAAGUGUAACAUGACAACUAAAAGGGGAUAGAGGAAGUGUUAGUACUCCUUCCUUUUUAAUUUUUAUCAUGCAUGUAAUUUAUUUAUUUUGAUUGAAUACAAAAUUUAAAAAUUUAAAGAUAAAAGACUUUUUUUAUUGUAUUUUAAAAUAAGGUUAAACUAUUUUGUUUGUUCAUGUUUUACUCCUUCACAAUGAAUUUGUACUUAUAUUCAGAAAUAAUAAAUGCAAGUGUAUAUUUUAUCAUAAUAUAUUUAUUAAUAUCAUUUUAAAAAGACUUCGAAAAUAAUUUAAGAAAUGAAGUAGUAAAUGUUAAGGAUAAAAUAGGAAAAAUAAUACUCAUAUUUUUCUCUCAAUAUGCUAAAUUGAAAUAGAAGAAAUAGUUCUCACCACAAAAAAAAUAAGAUUUUAUACAUUGAUAGUCCUUUAAAUCAGUAACAAAGUUCAUUUAAGCAUUUGAAUUAAGAUUUGUUAGCCUCUAAGCAUAUACUGAUAAAGUGGUUUUAUUAGUCAAUUUCAGUUCAAAUUUUGAAAAAUAUUUGAAUGUGUUCUCAAGUAUUCAUUACGUAGACAAGUUAAUCAUUAAAAUAUGUGCCUCAAUAAGUCGUAAAACCUUAGACUUAUUCUAAUUGAGGUUUAAAAGAUAAUAUAUUUUACGUGACUAGCUUAAAUACCUAGAAAAUGAUUGAAAACACAUGCAAUUUUAUUUAUUUUUUAAAAAAAAAUUGACUUGAAAGUGUCUAAUAUGAACACUUUAUUAUAUGUUCAAGUGCUCAAUUAAAACAAACUUUAAUUUGAAUAUCGUCUCAAUGAAAUUUAACAAUAAAUUUAAAAGAAUAUCGAUAUAUUAAACCCCCAAAAAAAAAAGAUAUUUACUCCCCAUUAUCGAAGAAAAAUAAAUAAAUAAAUCAAUAUCACGUGUUUGUUUUGGUGGAUUAUUUUGUUUUUAUGUGCAAUAUAGCUGGGCAGGUAACUUGGAUAAACAACAACAUCAUAAUUCAUACUCACAUAACAUUGAUUGUAACGUACAACUAUCCCAAGUAAACAGACCAAUUCAACUGUCAUUUCAAUUUAUUGUUUUGAGGGGAAAAAGCAAAAAUUAACUAAAGAAUCUUGUUUGUACAUGUACGAGGCAAAAAUUAAAUGCAAUUUUCGGUUGCGUAAGAUACGUUCAAUCUUAAAAGCCCAAACAACACCAUGUGUCCCCAUGAUCUGAUCCUACUGAUCAGAUUGGGUCCACCAACAAAUUUUCGUGACUACUUUUAUAUAUAUUUUUCGUUAAAUUUCCAACAAAAAUAUUUCUAUUAUAUAGAAGAGCCAUGAGAAGGACGAUCAAUGACAUUUUAGUAAUUUUAACAUUAUUUAAGGGUAAAAUAAUAAUUGUAUAAUAAUGGUCAAAAUGAAAAUCUAGAAGAAUCCAUACAUGUCUUAACUUUUGUUAUGGGGCCCAUAAGGAUAUUAUUGUAAUUUUGUUAAAAUAAAGAGUUUCUAUUAGUUAACUUAUUACAAACAAUAAUACUAAGCUUGUUUUGACAUAUUUUAGAAAGAAAAUUUUGAACUAAUUAAAAUAAAAUGUGUUUGAAUAGUUAAUAUUUUGUUCUUAGAAAUACUUUAAAGGAUUAUUGCGUAAAAAUAUUUUUAAUAUUAUGUUACAUAAUAUGACCAUUAAAUUUGUAUCUUGAUUAUUAAAAUAUUCUUUAAAAUGACGUAUCAAUAUUUUUUAAUUAAUUUGAAGAAAAUAUCAAAUUUCGUGACUAAAAGAAUGAACAAUGUUUGACUAUCAAGAAAUUAAUAAUUCGAUAAUGUAUUCAUCGAAAGAUUAAAAAAUGUUAAAAAUUUUCAUUUCUAUAUUUUCUUAAUAUCAAAUAUGAUAAACUAUUUAACAGAGAAAAUUUGACAAGGAAAACGUUUAACAUUCAAAUUCUAAUGAAUAUUAAAAUUCAAAUUAAAGAAAAAUGAGUAGUUAAAAAAUAAAGAAGAACAACAAAAGAAAAUGUCAAUAGAAAAAGACUUAGUUGUGAAAUAUAGAGGAAGAAAAAAACUAAAAACAAAUGAAUUAGGAAAAAACAACCUGAAAAAAAAAGUAUAUUGGUUAUUUUGUGGGGGUAAAAUUUAGGGUUUUCUUUACUGCGUGAUAUUAAGAGUGUAGUAUCAAAAAAAAUUAAUUAAUGUAAUUUCGAAUAUAUCAUUACGAUAAUUGUUAUUGUAUAUAGAAAUAAAGUUUCUUUCAUGAUUGUUUUUAUUUUUGUUGAGUUACAAAUUAUUUUUUUAAUAAAUACUUUCAAUAUUUAGAAUAUAACAUCACGAUAAUUGUUAUUGUAUAUAGAAAUAAAAUUGCUUUCUUGAUUGUUUUUAUUGUUGUGAAGUUAGAAAUCAAUUUAAUAAGUAUUUUUAUUUAUCGAAGACAAUAAUAAAAUGUAUCACAAAAUUCAUUGACAAAGCCAAUUACAAACACAGUAUACUUAAGUUGAAGCAAUAGAGAUUUGAAAGACUUUAAAUCGAUCUUUACGAAUUAAUUGAUCAAAUUAUCAGAUGCAAAGCUUAUGAUGCAAAUAUUACAAAACGAAGAUAAUAACAUUGUGGAAAAUAGAUACCACUUGAAUAUAUAUGAUGAUCAAUGAAAUUUUUCAAAGAUAUCAACAUUUUAUAUAUUCCUCAAACACGAAAUGUUUUUAACUCAUAAUCUAACGCAAUUCUCUAUUUCCUUGCUGCAUAUAAUUUUUUAGAAUUCAACUUUCUCAAUUUAGGUUGUAAACGACACAUUUAUGUCGUAUGAUCAUUUGAAAUAGAUUAUAAAGUAAUAUAUUGAAGUUGUUUACUAAAGAAAAAAAUAGUAUAAAGUAUAGAAAUCUCAUAUCUUUGAAGGCUAAUUACAUAAUAUCCGGGAAGUUUCCUCAAUUACAAAAAUUUUGAAUUUUUCAUUUCUCUAGAAUACAUUCCUUGGUUGUCCAAUACAUUGCAAAUGACAUAUUACUUCGGGGGAGGGAUGUAUUCGAGAGGGGAUAGGUAUGUAUCCGAGAGGGAAUAGAUUAUCCGAGAGGAAAUAAGGAUGUAUCCGAGAGAGGAUUAUAAUAUCUUAAGUUGUGAAUUUAUGUAAUUUUUCCAACAAAAUAUGUGAAAUUAUAUUAGGCCCAUAUCAUGGGCCUUAAAUUAUCUAGUGUAUAUAUAUAUAUAUAUAUAUAUAUUGUGAGAUACAUACAUCCAAUUUGAAGGACAUAACAUGAUCUAGAGAGAAAAGUAUGUGCAAUCAAAAUCCGGUAAACUAAUCAGAUGACAAUAUAUAUAUAAUCAUAAUUUAUGCAGCAGCGUUUGAAUAAACUAUCUUAAUUAACCAAAAAAAUGAGUAUUCUCAGGUAAAUUACCUGCAUGGCGCAGUCCUAAGGUAAGUGAAACAUCACUAGCCGUAGUGGUCCCAAAUGUUAUCAUGUUGGAUCCAAUUUCAGAAUUACUAGCCAUAUUUGUGGUCCCAUAUUCCGCUCCACUGCGGCGAUAUAAGAUGUGGUCGGACUCAUCUUGAAUAGUGGAGAAAUUGGUUAAUUGAGUUGGCAUAGAGGAAGAAUAAUGUGUAUUCAUUGCGACAAUUGAAGGGUCAUUUUCAGAGACAUUGAUUUGGGGUUUUUUGUCUGAAGCAAUUGUGGCAGUGGCAGCUGAUUUUGUUUCUGUAAUGUUAGAAUUGGUUGUAAUAAUAAUAUUAGGCGUUGGUGUUUGUGUAUUUGUACGGUUUUGGUUUUCUAGCAUGUCAUCAUCAUCAUCUUCAUUAACCUCUCUUUGAUACAUUUCUUCUACCAUGGGUUUCCACAAUCUCACCCUUGCAUUUAUGAACCAGUUUGCUACCUGCAUAUAAUAACACAACUUUAUUACUAUACGUGAAUUAGGCAAGCCAGACUCGACUCAAAAGGCACGAUAGUUACGUUGAGGAACAAAUAAACUAAAAAACCUUUGUCCUCACGAGUAUUUUGUAGUAGUAGUGCUUCUUCUACUUAGUUUGUAGAUGAUUCAAAAUUUCUAAUAACACUAUGUUGCUUCUAAAUAGUUAUUAAAAAUUAUUGGAUAGAGAUGGAGAUUAUUGAGAUAGUUUUCAAUAAUUUAAAUUUGGUUAUGCACAAUAAAGUCCCAUAGAAAUUGAUAUGAUAUAAUUCCUUAAGGGUCUGUUUGGAAAGUCAUUGGGUAAUUGGAAUUGGUGACAUUACUAGUCUAGUAAUUAUCGGCUUAGUAAUUACACAAUAUCAGCCAUGUAAUUACCAGCAAUUCACAGUCUCCCUUGUGAACUGGAGAAGGUAAUUUACCUUGUCAAUUACACCCAACUACCCAUUGACCAAAUAAUUACAUGAUCAACCAAACAUGUCAGACAGUGUAAUUACACUCAAUUACACCAAAUCUAAUUACUAAAAGGACUUUCUAAACAUGCCCUAAAAAUAGCUUGCAAUGUAAAAUAGCGAGUCAAUACUGCUAAAACAAAUGAAAGUGAAAAUAUAACAUGAGUUCUAAAUUUAAAACAAAAAAAUUAACAUAAUACUCUUAUAUUAAAUUUCAACAUCAUAAAUAUGAUUUAAAAGAAAAGGAAACGUAAGUUCAUAACCUUAUUCAACAAUAAAUUCUAUUUUAAUUUAAAAAUUAGAAUACUAACAAAAUUAUACUAAUGAAAGAAAAAUAAAUAGAUAAUGCAAAAAAUUACAUGAAAUCACAUGAAGUAAAGUUGAGAAUGGGAAAGAAAAGAAAUAUAAAUAAUAUAAAAAAAAUUAGAAAACAUUAGAAUAAUAAAAAUAAAAAAGAAUUUAAAAUAAUAAAAUAAAAACAAAAGUAAAGAAAAAAAAUAUAGAAAUAAAAGAAUUAUAUUAAAAAUAAUCAACUUGUAAUUACAUCAUAUAAUUACUAGUAAUUCACAACCUCUCUUAUAAAUUGCAGAGUAAGAGUGUAAUUACCCUCUGUCAAUUACACUCAACCUCUCCUAUAAUUUGCAGAGUAAGAGUGUAAUUAUCCUCUGUCAAUUAUACUCAAUUACCUACUGACCAAGUAAUUACAUGAUCAAUCAAAUAUAUCAGACAUUGUAAUUACACUCAAUUACAGCAAAUCAAAUUACUAAUAUGACUUUCCAAACAGACACUAAAAAUAACCGAUCAAACCAUAUCAUUUACUCCCUGAGUUAUAACUAUUAAUUUUUCAUGCAACUUAUGAAUAUCUUGAGGAAGAAAAAAAGAUGUGAAAGACAGAAAUUUAUAGAAGGUAAGGGGACAAACCUGGUUUCUGGAGAGACCAGUCUGUCGUGCCAAAAGAUGCUUAUCUGCAUCACUUGGAUACCUGAGACAAAAUUUUCAAAUUAGAAAAAAAAAGCAGAAAAAUAUUUCCUCCGUUUUAAAAAGAAUAACAUAUUUUUCUUUAAGUUUGUUUAAAAAAGAAUUACCCUAUUUCCUUUUUUAGCAAUACUUUAAUUUCAAUUUUUCAAUAUAUAAAUUUCGUGUUAAGUCAAAUUAUGUCAUUUUUUUAAAACGGAAAAAGUAUGUUAGAGUGCCUUACUUAAACUGUAUAAAAAGCUGGAAAUGCUUUCCUUAUCCGUAGAUGAGAAUUGACACUUUUGUUUUGUUGUAUGUAAACAUAUUGGCGUGAGGAUCGAAAAAGGAAAUACCAAAUUCAUGAGCAGUGUUAGCUGCUGGCUAAAGCAGAAAGUAAAGAGAGAAGACAAACUCCACCUCUCUCUCUUUUCUUUUUUUUCUUCUUAACAUUCAUUUCAUUACAUAGAUAGAUUCUCUUGCUUUUUAUCAUCAUUGUUAAGUUGUUGUCAUGCAUAUAUCACCUUAAUGACCACUAAUUUAGUACUCUCUCCGUUCCUAUUUACAUGUAGUUCUUAUUAAAAAUAGAUGUUUCUUAAUAUUUGUUAUUUCACAAAAUUAAUGUAUAAAUAACAUUAUUUUUUCUUAUUUUACCUUGGAGAGUUAUUAACCUUGAAAAUAUAAAUUUGACAACUAAGUAAUUAAUUCAUGUUCAUUAAUCAAAAUAAAUUAAUUCAUGUUCAUUUAUGGAAAACUUGACUUUACAAAAAGGAAAAAUCCUUUUGCCUAGAAAAUUUGGUCAAAACUUGGCCAAAAUGUUAAAAAUAACAUAUUUCACACUAUGUUAUUUUACUUUUUAAAACAUUUUUACCCUUUUAACUUUAAUACCUUUCAAUUAAAAUAUGGAAAAACGAUCAAUUUAUUUUAAAAUAAAAAGGAUAUUAUAGACUUUUUAAAUUUCUUGCCAAAUUUUCUGGCCAUUUAGCAUUACCCAAAAAAGGAAAAAAAAUAGUACUCCCUCCGUCCCAUUUUACGUGACACUUUUUGAAUUUCGAGAUUCAAACAAAUCUAACUUUGACCAUAAAUUUUUCGUAGAUCUUUUAAACAUUUUGAAUUAUCAAUUGUUGUGACUUAUAGUAUUUUUUUACCUAGUUUACAAAUAUAUAAAUUUCAUUUCAAAAAAAUUGAAGAUUUCAUGCGCAAAUUUCCGGUCAAACUUAAAUUGUUUGACUCUUGAAAAAUAAAAAGUGUCACAUAAAUUGGGACAGAGGGAGUAUUAAAUAAGCAAUGGUAAAAUUACCUGGUUUCUCAAGGAGUGUAAACCUAAAAUGGUGACAACUAUAUAGAAACGGAGGGAGUAAGAGUUUAACUUUAAAUAUUCAUUCACUCUUAAUGAAAUGAUUUAUAUAUAAUCACAUAAAUAUUUAUGACUUGUUUAAAAUUACAUAAAUUUCAAAAAAAAAAAUUAAAAAUUUAAUAUCAAGUCAAAUUAUCACAUAAAAUGAAACGAGGGAGCACUACUUUUCAAAUGCAUGCCUAAAUAAGUCAGAAAGGUGGUAGUAUAUUGGAUUUCAUCUAGAGGUAAAAGUGGUGCACAAAAAGUAGUAAGAGGUAAUUUUGCAUUUUGUUGAAAGGACUGAUGAAUUGCAGCAGUGCCUUUAACAUUGACUGCAAAGAGAGGGAAAAAGAAAAUGUACCAACUACUCAAUAUUGGAAAUGUGUUUUAGAUUAGACUAAUAAAAGUUGAUUGCACAAAAAUUCAUUUAGCAAUAAUCAUGGUAUCAAAGACUUUUCCUCAUUAACUUUCGGUUGUGUGGUAAAUAUCAAAUAUCUAGAUUUUAUAAAGGAACUAGGACUUGGGACAAGUGUAUGUAAGCUAGAGUUUAUACAAACAAGUGCAACUCAACUUCAAGUUACUUUGUUAUAUUCUAUUCUUUUUAAUCUUAUUCAUAUCUUUUAUACUUAAAAAUAAUUUAAUUUUACUUCUUUUCUUUCAUUUUAUUAUGCACUAUAUCAAAUACAAUUUAAGUCGAGUACACGUUAUUUAACUUAUAGUAUUUUUUUUAUAUAGGGUUUUAACAUUUUAACCAAGUGAAUAAAAUUAUAUUCUAUUCACCUGACAAGAGGUAGUUGUUCGAAUGGUAAAUAUAUUUCACUUUCAACCCUAAAGUUGUGAGUUCGAGUCACCAAAAGUAGGUCCUCCUAGGAAAGGGUAAAGAUGUACACACUGUUAUUUUUGUUAAUCUCAAUUUAUACGUCACAACAUUAGAGAGUUAAUUUUUUUUAAAUUCGGAUAUAGAAUCUUUAAAUUUAUUUUAAAAUAUAAUAUAUAUAUAUAUAUAUGAAAAUUUACGUACUCCAUCCGUCUCAAUUUAUGUGACACCUUUCUAAUUUCAUAAUUCAAACAAGUAUUUUUAUUACCGUAAUUUUUUCAGAUAUAUUUUAAAAAUAUUGAAUUAUCAAUAAUUGUUACUUAUACUAGUACUUUUUACGUAGUUUUUAAAUAUAUAAAAAAAAUUAAAAAUUAAAAAAAACAUAACUUAAAGACUUCCCGCCUGAAUUCAAGGUCCAAACUAAUUAGUUUGACUCUGAAUAUCAAAACAAUGUUACAUAAGUUGAGACAUAGUGAGUAAAAAAAUACUAUAACCCCUCAAAAUAUCUUUAAAACAUAAUUAAGAAAAAAAUAUGACAAAAAAAAAACUUGUUUGACUUUCGAAAUAUCUCACAUAAAUUGAGACGAAGGAGUAUAGAUAGAAGUUAGAAGGAAAAAGAUGAGAAAGACGUACGGAUGUAGAAAAUGUUCGAAAAGCCAAGCUCUUAAAAUAUUGACAGAUCGUUCAGGCAAUCCUCUUUGUGGCCUCCAAGCUUCUUGUUCCAUCAUUCCCAUUUGUUGAAAAGCUCUUUGUUGCCUCAAGCUUUGUUCAAGCACCUUAAGCCUUGGUGUUUCUCCUUUAGUCAGUCCUGAACUACUGCUUGCAUCUUUUUCACCUAGUGCCUCACAUGUCUUCUUCAAUUGCGCCGCCACGCCAUCUUUUAAACACUUGAAAUGCCUAGACAUAGCUUUCUGUGCUAGUGCUGUGUAAGGAACUGCAGCUCCAAAACCCAUCACUAGAUCGAAUGAGUUUACUACCAUCUGCAUUUGUUCACAAUAGUGGUUGUAUCUUUUCUCUACCUACAAGUAAUUAAACACACCAAGAAAUCAAAGAAAGAAUAUUUAUAAAGUGUAACAAUCUAUCUUAUUUUUAUACAAUUAGGUUAACUACAAUAACAAGAAGUUUUUUUUCUAAUAACAUGGAAAAUGAAGUGCUAAAUAACUUAUUAUUCGAUCUUGAUUUUUCUGUUUUAAUCUGUUUAAAAAAGAAUGCAUAUAUCCUAAUUUAGAAAUUACUCGUUAAUUUUAACUCUUACAAUAUGACAUGUUUAAGACCACAAGUUUAAAGAAUAUUCCAAUAUAAUAUACGUAUUCUUAGUUAAUUUAAGAUUACAAGAAUCAAAAGUGUUCGUCAGCGAGUUAAUGAAAAAGUAGUUCAAUUAGUUGAAAAACAUAUAAGGUGCAGCUGGGAAGUUAAAUUUCCUCAACAAGAAAACUACUAGUACUAAAAUUGUGGCUUUACCUUCUACUCAAGCAAACAAGAAUAUCUUCAUUGUAAAUCAAAUACUGAUUAAAAUAGUAACAAAAGAAAGGAAGAAAGAUACAUGAAUUUAUAUUCUAAUAAAAAGGUAGCAAGAAAGCUGAUCGAUAGUAUAUGUGAACAAAUAGUACAUUGAAAAAUGAUUGUUGUUGUGAAGAAAGAAUAUCCUGUGUGUUUUGUUGCAUGUGCCUUCGCUUACCAUUUUUUCAAUACAGCAAUAAUAACACUAUAAUGUAUUAAAAAAAAAAGAAGGAAGAUUUACAAACAUCACUUAUUUUGUCUGUAUUGAAAUAUGAUGGUCAAAUAAAUAAAAGUGUACAUUUAAAGGUAGUUUGAUUGGGAUGUCUGAAGUUUGACUAAAUUUGAAUUCGUGUCAGCGAAAGUUACAUAUUGGGGGUAAAACGUUUCCUAACAAAGGCGAUUCCUUAUCCAGGGGAAUUCAAACAUGAGACCUUUGGUAAAAGAUGAAGAAGUACUUAUCAGUCUAGCACAACUCUGAUUGAUAAAUAGGAUGUAUUAGAAUAAAAUCAUAGUGAAUAUGAUGUAUUAGAAUAGAAAUAAUACACCAUAUACUAUAACUAAUGUCAUGAUUUACUAUGUGUAAGAAUAUUACUGAAAAGGCGUACAACUAAUACUACCAAACAAGAAAUUAAACAAUAUCAAGACAUAUCAAUGUUAUUUUCUCUAAUACCUCCUAUCAAACGCCGCUUAAAGAUAAUAUCUACUUCUGGAGUGCUAACAUAUUUUAGCAGAAGAAAGAUAUAGCUUGAUGGUAGAGUGAGAGCUAAUUUUAUCACCAAAACAAAAUCUUAUGUUAUGCUUAACACCCAAAAUCAAAAAGAAAUCAAACUCAAUCUAUAUAUUACAAAAUCUAUUUAAUUUCUUUCUAGCCGGCUUUAUAUAUUCUCCUCUAUAAAAGAUUCCUCCAACUCCUAGAAUUUUCUAUUCCUUCCCUUUCUUGUGGUUUUAAUUUAUAAUCAACAUAUAUAGUAUAGUACCAAAUAAACAACAAUGAUUGGUCAUUGACCCCCGGAUCGCGAAUGUACCUCUUUGACUUCACUUGAACUCAGUAAUUUAACUCGUAUAUUUGUAAGAAAUUCACUAAACAAACAUAAAAAAUAAAUUCUGACCACAUAGUAAAUCAAGUUGUGAUAGAAUUUCAAAUUCAAACACAUAAUUUUCAAAUUCUGAAUAAAUAGAGAGAGAGGGGAGAUUGUACAUGCCUCAUCAAGCAUGGAUAAAAGUUUGGCCUUCCUUCUUUGAUGAUCAAGUCUCUCUGCAGUUGACAAAUUAGGAGGGAUAAUAUCCUUUGAAGAAGAUGAAUUAUUGUUAUUACUUCCACUAGGGUUAAUAAUGGGUGAUGUACUUGUGUUGUUAUUCCUAAAAACUUUGUUGAUUUUCUUGAACAAUUGACCCUUCCCAACACAACAAAACUCUUCCAACAACUCUUGUGUUGCUUUGACAUACUUUGAAUUCCUCAACACAUUGACUAGUCCUAGUGAUGACCCAAAACCAAUAUUAUGAUGAUUUUGACUUUCUUGAUUGAAAAACAACAUUUCUCCUCCACUACUCAUCCUCAAAUCUUCCACUUUGGAUGCUUCCAAAUGUUGUAAAGUGGAUGACAAGGACAAUGAAAGACCUUCAUGCCCUUGAUCAAUCACAUUUACUCCUCCAAUUGGAUUUGAAGAAGUACUUGCUCCUCCACACAUGAAUUGACUAAAAUGCCCUCCAACCGGGCUAGAAAAUCCUUGAUGAAGAGUUGAAGGAGUAGAUUGUGAUGGUGAACUUGGUUGUGGAUUCAUAAGAAAAAGUUGCAUGGACUCCGCGGUAUUUAUACUUGGUACUUGAUUGUGUUGACGCUGAUAAUAAGCAGUUACACUAUCACGGUUACUCAAUAAUACCUUCGCAUUCACAUCAUCUUUUGUAUCCCCAAAUGGUACCUGCAAACUUCCACCAACUACGAUCUCUUGUCUGUUACCAAACCACUCCCUGGUCGGAGGUUGAUGAUGUGGCUGUUGAUUCGGAUGUCUAUAGUUAUUUGACAAUUGAUUCUGUAACAACUCAGUUGCAGCCGUGGAUGUUGUCUGAAAAUUGAACAUUUCAGACAACAACCCGGCUGUCUCAUAAACUUGGAUUCCACUUGAUUCUCCUCCUUGUGGCUCAAACCCUUGUUCUACUCUUAAUUUUUCUCGUUGGAUCUGGAGACCGAUAUGUUGUUGUUGGUCUUGAGGUCUCUCAAAUUCAUUCGAGAAACUAGCAAGACCUUGGUGAUGAUAGUCUUGAGACAUUGGACUAUUCUAAGAAACGGUUCAAAAAUUGAAGCGUAUCACCAUCUCAUCUGAUCAUUUUCUUUUGAAUUUCUUCAACCAUCACGAUAAAUUAACCCACCUCCUUCUUUUCUUGCAAUUGGCUUCUGAGUCUACUAUAGAUCGAGCAUAAAAUAGUAAAAAUAAAUAAAUAAACAUAGAACAAAGAGAUCAUGGAUACAACUAUAAUUGGGAACAAGGAAAGUAUAAAAAAAAAAAAAAAAGAGAGAAUAAUCAAAGUAAAGACUUUUUUAUUUUUUUCAAUUUCUUUAAUUUUUUUUUUAAAAAAGAAGUUGAAUUUUAUUUACCUCAUAGAAUUGCAGGUCGGAAAAGGUUGCAAAGCCUCUCAUCAGCUAUCGUUUUCACUUCAACAUAUGAACAAUGUUUUUUUCGCUUUCUCUUUGUUUGUGUGUAUAUAUGUUGUUUGUAAGGCUGUCGUUUUUUUUUUUUACUUUUCUUUCUCUAUCUCUGUCUUUGUUGCUCUUUGUAUUUUGCAGUGAUUGUUGUCUCUGCAAUUGCCUUCUGGAAAGAGAGAGUCUAAUAAGUAACAACAAUAAAGUGUACUUUUAUAAUGCAGAUGGACUUGCUCUCAUAAUGUGAAUUUUAACAUGUAUCCGUAGAUGCGCGUUUGGACAUAAAAAUUAUGAAAUUAAAAAAGAAUAGAGCAUUUGUUAUUAAAUACCUCGGGUCCAUUAUUUAGGAUAGUGGGGACAUCGAUAAUGAUGUCAAACAUCGCAUUGGUAUAGCAUAAAUGAAAUGGAGGCUUGCCUAUGGAGGCUUGUGUGAUAAGAAGGUAUCUUCUAAAUUUAAAGGCAAGUUCUACAAAGUGAUGGUUAACCUGUUCUUGUUGUAUGGUGUGGAGUGUUGGUCUGUCAAGAGCUCACAUGUACAGAAGAUAUAUGUUGUGGAGAUGAGGAUAAGUGGAAAUACUAGGAGUGACAAGAUUAGGAAUAUUGAGGUUAAUCAGGAGAAGGUGAGAGUGGCGGACAAGAUGAGGGAAACGAGACUCAUGAGAUGAUUUGGAUAUCAUGUUCAUUUGCAGAAGAGGUGCACCGAUGCCAAGUGAGGAGGUGCGAGAGGUUGGAUUUUAGGGGGUAUGUGGAGAGGUAGGGAAAUGUCGAAAAGAUAUAGGGGAGAUGUGAUUAGACAAGAUAUGGUGCAACUUCAUAUUAUCGAGGACACGACUUUAGAUAGGAAACAAUGGAGGUUGCGCAUUAGGUAGAAGGCUAGUAGGGGUAGAGUGUCGUCUUGCCUUGUGAAUAUUUAGUGCCUUCCAUAGGACUAGUCGUGCCCUUGUAGUUCUUGACAUUUGUUGUUUAUUGCUUUUCAAUUAUCACAUUAUUUUGUUGUUGUUAUUGUUUCUCUAUUAUAGACUUUACACUGCUUUUCUUGCUAACUACUCUGCUUACUCUAGUGUUUUCUUCUUCUUUUACUUCGGUUUGAUACACUUGAAUCAAGGGUCUUUCGAAAACAGUUUAUCUACCUUCACGAGGUAGUGAUAAGGUUUGCGUACACUUUAACCUCCUCAGACCUCACUUUUUGGAAUUUCACUGGGUGUAGUGUUGUUGUUGGAGAGUUAUGUUUGGAAAUAAAUAGGAAUUGAAGUUGUUUUUUAUUAAUUUUUUUUUUUUGAAUAAUUUAGAGGUAAACGCCUCUUUUUCUCCUGAAGUUGUUGGAAUUAAUUACUCGUAAUAAGAUAUUAGUGAAAAAUAUGAAAAUGAUUUUUUUUUGGAGUUUUUCGAAUGCUAAAAAAUUGUAAUAAUUACAUGUCCAAAUAAUUUUGCUCUUUAGAGAUGGUGAUGACUUGUAGAAGAUGAGUCGCUGGAGCGUACAUAAGUUAGAAUCAUGCCUAUAGCAAAGAAGGGGAAAAGGAAGAAAUUUUAGAAUUAAGAAAUAGGGAGAAAAGGUCGUUGUUCUUCUUGCUCACAAUUCAAAUUACCACUUGUAAUUUCUCUAUUUCAAUGUUUUAUUUGACGGUAUUUAAUUAAAUAUUAUAUCUAAUAGGAGCAUGUCAAUUGUGACUAAUUAUGCAACGGACAUAUAGUCAAAAGAGUAGAAUAAUGUGACAUGAAUAGAUGACAGAGCAGAAAAUGACCAAGCUACAAUAAUUUGUACAUCAUCAAAUUUUGCACACUUAUCUAGAUUAUGAUUGUUGAAGAGAUAGUUGGUAAUUAAAUAAGAUUAGGUUGAAAAGAUAUCUCACCAUCAUUUUAAUAAUUAAUCAGACGCUAAUCUAUCAUUAUCAUAACUUUGCUUAUCCCCUCAAUCAAACCCGGCCAAGGCUAUAAUAGUCAAUUUGCAUCGGUUCUUGAUAGCAAUAACAUUAAACCAGGCCAAGGCUAUAAUAGUCAAUUUGCAUCGGCUCUCGAUAGCAAUAACAACAGAUUUUGGAGAAAAAAAUGACUUAUAAAUAUUUAAUUUGAUAGGUUAUGUGUCACCUAAUUCAUUAUAUGCAGAGAAAUAUGAUCGUUUAAAAUUGAUCUUUUCAGAAACUAAAGUGAAAAACUUAGCCGGUGAAGAUUUUGAACUCGACUUAGUACACUAGAGGUCCUAAGCCACUUCCAAUGCCUUCCCACUUAAAGAAUGAACAUUAACACAUAAGCACAAAUAGGACAUCACCCAAUUCAAGCUUAUAUACUUAUGACAAAAGAUUCAGAUUCAAAAAAUAAAAUUACGAUCUGUUAUAGAUAUAUAAAUAAGUAUAUGAUCCACUACAAGAAAAGUGUGAAUUACAUGGAGAGUUUCCUAGGAAUUAGUAUGAAAAUUUGCAGAAAAAUAAGUUUUCUAUGGAUUUUCAUACUAAUCCCCAGAAAAUCCUCAUGUAAUUCACAGUUUUCUUAUAGUGUGAAUUACACAAAUUUUUGUUGCUAAUGGGUGUUAGUUGUGUGGGCCUUUAAUCUUCGCAUCGACAUAUGUAUCGGCUUGACUUUUUGUAAAAAAUGAUGAAAUAAAAAUAUUCAUAAUAAAGACGAUUAUCGUAUAUUACUUACUCGACACACUUUUAUUAUAGUAUUUGAAAUUUGAAUAGAUACUGUUAUUUUUCUUUCGAAUUACAAUAUUAUUAUUUGAUUAGAUCAUAUUUAGUAUGUGUCUAUAAAUGAAAUUAAAUUAAUAGUACUAUUUGUUUUUUUUGGUGAGGCAAUGUCGGAUGACACUACAUGGUGUCUCUACCACUGGUCAUACUGGUAACUUUCUGGCCUUUCUUUGAAAAAAAAAAAUCUUUAAUCUUUAUUAGAACCUGGCAAAAGGAAAACUAGAAAUGAGUCAAAAACUGGAAAAUAAAGAAACAAACGUGCAGGAGUAGUGACAAAUUUUUUACUAAAAAUCUUAUGAAAAAAAAAAACUAAAAAUUUUAACUGACAAGCUAAAGUUUUUUAAAAUUCUGCAAAUAUUUUAUCAGUUUAAUAUUUUGUAUAUAAAUUUGAGAAAUAUAAGUAAAUUAGAUUCGAGCUUAAUGUUGUUCGAAAUAUAAUUUCUUAAGGGAUUGUUUGAUUUGAAGAUAAGUUAUACUAGAUUAAUUAUCCUAUAUUAUUUCUUAAUGGUCAUUUAAUUUGUUGUAUUAAAAAUAGUAUUUAUGGUAUAAUUUCUAAGAAAAUUGUUUGUUUAUAAAAACACCCUUCAUUUUUAUUAAGUAUUAGAAAAAAGGAUUUAAUGGACCACAUAGAUUUAUUUUAUUUAAUCCCGAUAUUGUUGUUUCAUUCUUAUCCUGAUACUAAUUAUUAAGUUCCAGCUGUUUUUCCCGCAGCAAUUCAGCUCUGAAGACAUCUAAAGUUGCAGGCACGCCCUAUUCCAAAGCAAUAGUCUCAUUAUUAUAGCUUUAACUGUCUAACAUAUCAAGACAUAAAAUCUGAUUCUAGCAUCUGUCAAAAGUGAUCUAUAGCUUAGUCUUGCAUGAAAUGCCACCACUAUCUUACAUCACAGCAUCAAUUGUUUGGUUGAUCAUUUAAGAACUAUAUUAAAGUUAGAAUAACAGAGUACAUAAAAUAAUUGGAAGCAAAAAUCAUACUCCCUCCGUCCCAUUUUAUAUGAUGUACUUUGAUUUGGCACAAACUUUAAGAAAAAUGGAAAGACUUUUAAAACUUGUGGUCCAAAAUGAAUGAUAGAAAUUUGUGUGGUUGUAAAUCAUUUCAUUAAGGGUAAAAAAGACAUUUUAUAGGCAAAUUGUUACUUAAAAUAGAAAUGUGUCAUUCUUUUUGGGACUGACUAAAAAGGAAAGCAAGUCAUAUAAAUUGGAACAGAGGGAGUAUAAUUUAUCCUUAGAUUAGUAAUUAAAUGAGGAAUAAUAUUGUAUUAAAUUUUAUCUCAGGAUCAAAUGGUUAUUGCAUAAAUCAACACUUUUAAUGAAUCUAUCAGAAUUUCAAUACGAAUAUCAAACGGUUUUGGAGAUGGGUAACUUUCAAUUACCCUUUAGUCACGGUCUUUAUUUGCUCAGAUGUUUUUUGCAUGCUCCGAGGUAUUUUGUGUGAUUGUUACUUACGCAUCCGGUACUUACUUUUCAAUGAAUCAACACCACACAUGUUAAUUUUGGUCAGUAAAAAAUUGUACAAAGGUCUGCUUUUUUUGUUUUUUACUUUUCAAUUUUAGCAAAUUCAUUUUAAAAAUUAUUAUUUUAAUCCUAUACUGUUCUUAUUAUUUUAUAUAUAAUUACGUAUUAAUAAUCAAAUUCAAAUUUUCAAAUUAUAAUUAAUAAAAUUGAUACUUUCUUAAAAAAUAUGUCAGAUCAAUAUGAAUCAAGUAAUAUGAACACGAAAUGAGUAUUAGUUGGCACCACGUAUUAUAUACUCCUCCAAGCUAUAGUGAUGUACCAUGUCAACAGUAGAUGCAUAUAAUUAAACAAUGAGUCUUUUCUAAAAGAUCGAUGACAUAUUUGAAUCUUUUUCCUUUUAAUAGAUGCAUAAAUGCACCUUUUUCGAAAAAUUAAAAACAUUUUUGAGUCUUUUCUCUUUAAAAAUAAAAGUAAAAUAAAAAAUAUUAAUAAUAUAUUUUUUUUAUAUGAAAGGUUUUAGGAUUCUAUAAAUAUAGGUUUGUUCCUUCUAACUUAAUUAGCAUUUAGUCCUAGGGUUUUGAGAGUUGCGGUUAUGGGGGAGAAUUUUGUGUUCCUCCUUGUAUUCCGAGUGAAUUGGUUGAGGUUGUUUCUCUCUAUAUUUUAUACUCUCAUAUUUAUAGUGAAUUGCUCAUCUCCUUUGUGAACGUAAGUUAAUUGAUUGAACCACGUUAAAUCUUUGUGUCUUUUGAUGUAUUUCUUGUUUAUCUUCUUACUUAUGGUCUUUCGAGAUUUGCUUUGUUAGCUUCCACGUUACACCUGCUUAUUUCAAUCUCAACAAAAAAUACCACUUGUUUUGAAAGGAUCAUCCAAUUGCAUUGAGUACUUUACAAUGAUAUCAUGUAUUUAUCUGUUUUAACGCGUGGUAUCAACUGAGCCAGAUUUAGUAUACUGUUUUUGUUUUUACAUUAACUGUAAAUGUAAAUAUAAGAUCGACACGUACGCUUGUGAAAACUUAAUUUUAGAAAGUUGAAUGAGUCAAAUGUGAUAACUACUCCAUCUAUUUAGUAAAAAAAAAACUGUAGUUACAUAUAUAUAAAGGGUGUUUGUUAGAGGUUUUGCAAUUGGUCACACUAAAAACUCAAAGAAAAAGGGAAACAUCAAAAUGAGAGAUAAACUUUCUAACUGCUAAGCAAAUUGAUGCUUGACAGGCUAACCCUCCCUUUCGAUAGGACCACUUCACCUUUCAAAAUAUCUUUAUUUUAUAAGUGUGCAAAUAAGUUAUAUACAUUGUUGGUAUCGUAUGAAAGAAUUUUUAAUUCACAUUAUCACGUUAGUUUAAUAAUAUUUACAUGUAAACCUCUUCUAAAAUAAGAAAUUAAUAUCUUAAGCUCAUAAGUUAAAAUAAUAGUUUAUUUUCUGGGGCACCACAAAAAGUGUAGUGGGCUGAAUAGUUGAGAUAUUUUAUUUUGUCAAAUAUCUUAAAUGUGGAAAAAUUGUAUGAAAUAACAAACUAUUAAUUCAAAUUAAAUGUUAUAGUCAUAGUUUAUUUUAUUUGUAAUUCGCAGCAAACAUCUUAAUUUUUUGCCAUCUGAUUCGGUAUACAAUUAGCCAUUUUCAGUAUAUAAUUAGACAUUUUCGGUAUACAAUUAGCUAUUUUAUACAUUUCGGCAUAAAAUAUUUAAAAUGUGUUUGUGUUUGUAUAAAGCGAGAGAAAAGUAUAUAUACAAAUACAAAUACAUAUAUUUUCGUUCUAUACACUUAUAAUUAUACAAAUACAGAUCUUAUUAUACAAAUUACAAUGUAUAAAUGAAUUUCUACAAAACUGAAUAAUUUGUAUAAAAUUGGAUGUAUCUACGAAUUAUACAAAUCAAAAGCUCCAUAGCAAAUAUAAAAUUUGUUAUGGAGAGCAAUUAUGCAAAACUAUAGCUAUAACAUACAAAUAUAAUUUUUAUGUUUGCUAUAUGUGAAAGUUGCUCAUCUUAAAUUGAGCAUUGAUUGAAAAAUCUUUUGAUAAUUUUUUUUUAUCUCAUUGUAAAAUUCAUCGACGUGAACUUAAAUUAAUUGAAAAAAUCAAUAUAUUUGAAUAUCGAAUGAAUGGUUAAGUGAUCAUGAUCGUAAAUUCGCAAUAUAAAUUGUACAUCACAUGUUCGAACUUACGUUCAACACAAAUAAUUUGUUGAGGUGAAAUGCUAUGAAUUUAAGCAUCAGCCAUCACACAACCUUAUACAUACGUCGCUUCUUUAAAAAACAUAUAAAUUUAAUCGCCGCAAGGGAAGAUUUUAAUUAUAAUCAAUGUGAAUUAUUGAAAGCUAAAAUGACGUUUAUAUAUACUCCCUCUGUCUCAAUUUAUGUGACACAUUUCGUUUUUCGAGAAUCAAACAAUUCAAAUUUAACCGAGAAUUUACUCAUGGAAUCUUCAAAAAAAAAUUAAAUGAAAUUUAUAUAUUUGUAAACUAUGUAAAAGGUACUAUAAAUCGUAGUGAUUGACAAUUCAAAAUAUUUAAAAGAUGUAUGAAAAAUUUAUGGUCAAAGAUAAACUUGUUUGAAUUUCAAAAUCCAAAACGUGUUAAUAUAGUAGCAGAGAAGGUAGAAUUAAUUAGAAAGGUUUACAUUGACAUUGUUGUCUUCUUUUGCGUGGCAAUUAAUGUUUUCCUCCAUCGAAAACAUGUGGUGUAGGUUUGGUGUCCAUGCUACAUCACUAACAUAAAUUUAAAACUAUAUCAUAGUACAAGUAGUAGUAUCUAUAAAAGCAAAUCAUUAUUACUGAUAAUAAUUAUUAAGAGGGCGUUUGGAUUGGCUUAAAAGUAGGUCAAAUCCACUUUUAAGUCAGUUUUUGACUUCUAGAUGUGUUUGUCAUUUACAAACAUAGACGUACAUUACGUUCAAUUAUUAAAACAUCGUCUAGCUAAUGUAUUUUCAAUUUAAUCAAUAUAUAUAUAUAUAUAUAUGUAUAUAAACAGAUGGUGGUUAUUAUCUUCUUCUUCUCUUUUUUUUGGCAUCAUUAAUUUAUACCUUUAAUUUCCUUUCUUGGAUGCUUCCUGUCGUUAUUUUUAUUCCGUCUUUUUGGGAACAAUAUGACUGUACAAAACCUUUAAUUUACUAAUAUUACACAGUGACCACAUUCCCACUCAAGUGCCCUAUACUUCUAUUUUUUGCUUACAUGAUCAAGUCUCAACCAUACAAUAUAACCACCAAAGAUGUUGUGCAGCGGAUAGGACUGUUCAUCUUUUAAUUAGAGGCUUCAGGUUCGAAUCCUGAUUAUGAAAAAUCUUUAGUAGAGCCAUGCGCGUCACGAAUUCGGAAUAAUCAGUCUCCAGUGCAGGUAUCCGACAUCGGAUGAAAAACAAAAAAAAAUACAAUAUAAGUUUGGGUGAAUAGUCAAAUAUAUACUUGAUCAUAUCUUUCAAUUAAGUUGGAAUCUUGAUAAUUGUGGGUUCAUAUCUUCCCCUUUAUAUCUCGCAAAUUCCAAUUUAUUCAGCAGAAUUAAUCAUUUCCAUGAGGUGUUUUAAUUAAACUAGUGUACAGCAUGCAUUGACUGCGUCAAACAUGACUAACUUUAAUUUGCUGUGUUACACAAUCAUCAAAAAAAUAUUGGUUGAUGUGUCUAAAGUUAAUGGUAUUGGUUUAGGAGGAGCUGUUUGUGAAAGUGAUGUAAAAUGUAAAAACUGUUUCACUGAUUAGAGGUUGUAAGUUAUGUUAGUGUUUGAAUAUAUGAUAUAGGAUCUUGAUUUGAAAUAAUUCAAAAUUCUGUAAAAAGGAAUGAUUUGAAUUUAUUUUUUAAAAAUAGAAAACUUGAGUCAAAACUCAAAAAUUAAUUUUUGUAAAAAAAAAACAUCCAUCAUUUUACAUUUUAUAAAAAAAAAAAUCAUGUUCGGCAUGAAAGAUUAUCCGUACUAUGUGAAAAGAUUAUAUAAAAAAGUAACUAGUUACUAUUAUUGUUGAUUAGUUGAUCUUUAAUUAUAAAAUUAUGUGUCUUUGAAAAUUUGUAAUUGCAAAUAUUUAUUUAUAAAAUGAAUAUUGAGAUAUGUGAUUUAUCAAUGUGGUGCCUGAGGGCCGAGAAUAUUCUGAUAUCUUGUUAUGAACUAUGAUUUAUUAAUUUAGUAAGAUUGUGUAAGAAUUGGAGAAAAUUUGAUAGUUUUUACAGCUAGUAGAGUUUUCAUGUUUAUGAAAACAAAAGUACAACUGAAAAAAUACAAAUCACAUAUACAAACAAAAUUUCAAUUUUAUAUCAAUUUGAUUUCAAAUCAUAAUUUUCAUAUCGCAUAUCUAAACAGACCCUAAUACGUGUCAUACCCAAAAAUGGAUACAUGAUUAGAAAGCUCCGAUAUUAGAAUAAUGGCAACGACCUCAAGUGAUAGUUCGCUCAUAUCUUAUAUAUACGAUCUGAGUCAAAGAUAUUGAGUUCAACGGAAAUCAUAUAUUACACCCUGGAACCCAUAUAAUCUUUAGUAGACACAUUUCAAUGAAUUCACUGUAAAUGCUAAUUUUCUGUUUCUCCUUUGCAAUUUAGGAGAUGUAUAUUGUUCAUGAAAAACUAUUGUUAGAUUCUUAAAAGAUAAAAAAGAGAGAUAGCUAUGAGUUCAAGUAAGAAAGUACAACUUCUCUUUUCACAGAGUUUCAUUACCCCACCCCCCCUAAAAAUUAAAAGCAAUACUAAUCUAGCUCCAUGUACUAGCUCUAUUUUUAGAAAGAAAGAAAAAAAGAGAGCACAUAUUUAUAAUUAAUUAUCAAGUCCACAUUCAUAGAAAGGAAUGAGGCUAGUAAAACAUUUAAAGAAAUUUUGAUGCCUCAAAAUAAUUUAAUCAUGAAUUUAAUAGUUUUGUUUUAAUUUUAAUUAAAUUAAUAUUGAAGAUUGUAAAGAAACCUACAAAAUUUAUAUGAAGAAAAAAAACUAUUUAGAGUACUUUUUAGCAGAAAUAUUUUAGAACUUGAAUUAAAUAACUCAAACUCAUAUUAAUAAAUAUAGUUUUUACAAUCAUAUCCAAAGUAAUAUAUUGUUAAUAUAUGGCUAACAUGAAUUUAAUCAUUACUUUAUAAAUAAUAAUAACACUUUGUAAAGUUUUCAAUUAUAUAAGAUAAUAUAUUACAAGUAAAUAACUCACCAUAAUGUCUAAAAUGUGAUUGAAAAUUAAGUAAGAUCAACCUUAAAUCAAUUACACUCACAAUAUAAAGUUGAUUAACAAUUAUAAUUACUUAAGACAAACAUUCAUAUUUAACUCAUAGAGCUUAAGUGAAUUUUAAUGCAUACAAUGUUUCUUUUGUAGUCACAAGUUAUGUUAUAACCAAAUUAGAUAACUUCAUGUGAUGAUUUAUUAUCACAUAAAUAUAUACCUCACUUAUUUAAUUUGGAAUUUUAAAAUUAUCUAAUUAACAUCGAUUUAAAAUGAUAAUUUUUUAACAACUUGGUUGUUUGCUAGUCAAAUAAACAAAAAUAAUAAUAAGAAAAAAGUACGUUAAAAGAAGAACUUUUACCUAUGGACCAAUAUUAGGGAUGAUAGGGAUGACAAAAUGGGAUUAGGCGGUCGCCGAAUCAGUACAAAUUUUAAUAAUUUAUUAUUUUUAACUGGUGCCUGAAGCAAUGGAGCGUGGAUUAUGAAUCAAGUACAAGAAAACUGAAUAAUAAUAAUUUAACUCACAAUUCAAUGUAUUUUUUCCUUCCACUUUUAUAUUUCAGAUUUAUUUUAAAGCCAAAUGAUUAAUUAUAGUCAACAAUGUAUAUUCAGAGAUUAUUGAAGGCAAGAUGAGCAAUUCAAAAAAUUACACUAUUAAACUCACAAUGCACUUCACUUGAAUUGUGAAAAAAAAAAAUUAAUAUGCAACCACACCCACAUAGCCUAGAACUCAUCCGCACCAUUGGCAUUCCUACCUACCCACAAUGCACUUCACUUGAAUUGUGGGAAAAAAAAUUAAUCUGCACCACACUUGCAUUGCCUAGAACCUAAUCAAAUUUUAAAGCAACUGAGACCUAAUAGGGAAACCUAAGGUUGGAAUAGAUGGCUUAGUAAUAUUAUGAAAUGUCACUUACGAACUUAUUUAUUCUACUUUCAUUAGAAAAGUAAUUUUACUGAAUUUAACGGAACUUGUUUUCUUAAAGAAAUAUUUUGACCAACCAAACAUGAAAAAAUUGACCAACACUUUUUAUGUUUCCUCCCUAAGACACCCAUGUAAAUAUUGAUGAACCAAAAAUAAGCUAAGACGAGUGAUUAAUAAACAAAAUGCCACGGAUUUCAGCAAAAUUAUGGGUUUAAAUUAAUUUAAUUAAAUAAGUAAGAACAAAAUAAUUACUGAGGUUUAAGGAUGUGUCUUUCCCAAUCAAAGACACCCAACUUGUCUACAUCCUGAAAGGAAAGGAAGUUGGAGUAUAAUGAAUUUCUUCCUAACAACUUUGAGAUUACGACAAGAAGCAUUUCACAAGCCUGAUUUUUUUCCAAUUUUGCUGCAUCACUUAGCUCAGAAGACUGAUCUUUCCAUGGCUGGUAAAAUGACC
rnacentral:lncRNA from 1 species